UCAAUAGCAUGGACUGACAGAGUUACUGCCUCUGUACUAUCAGGUAUAUCUCCUUCCAUUACAUCAUGCCAUUCCUCCUCUCCUUCCUCUAGUCCUUGCAAUUGAAAAACUUCUCCUUCUUUUUCAGACAUUUGCAAGGACAUUAAUGUUUUUUGCUUGCAUUGAUGGCCAGGGAAAUAUUUUUCUCCAUAUUUAAAGCAAGGUUUGGGCUGUC
rnacentral:misc_RNA from 1 species